UCUGUUACUACCUUGCUCUUGCCUGGGUCCCUCCACUUUGCAGGGACACUGCAGAUGCGGAUGAACGGAUGAUGGCUCUAACUCUCAAAGGUCAGACUCCAGGAUUGAGGAGCCAAGAUAGCAGAGUAAACCAGAGCAGCUCCAGAGUUACCAUGAGAAUCCUCUCCAACCAAUAUUUAAAUAUUGCCACAAAACAAAUACAGAAGUGAAUGAAACAACAAGGAGACUGAGUGAAACAACUUUCAAGAAAAGAAAAAUACAAAAGAGAUAUCUGAUGACAUUUGUGGGUUCCACAAAAUUCUUAUUUAAUUUCUUAUGUCAACCAGUAAUUUAUUGAACUGCAAUGGGGAGAGUCAUGAUAUGAAAAGGAUAUCUGUAUUUUCCUCUAGUAGAAUGGAGCAUUCUUGAGGGGAGAAAAUUCACCCAUUGGCCAUCAUCUUAGAAAGGAGCUCCUCCAAAUUCAGCUAGGAUGCUCCACAGGGACAGAAGUUCCUCAAUAUCCAGGACAAUGCUCAAAGUUUUCUGAGCUUGUUAGACUGAACAGAGAUUCUUCUCCAAUGCCACAGCCUUGUCAAAUAUGAGUCAUCUCUGUAACCACUCUGAUACAACGAGGAGGAGAUUACCUGUUGUUUUCUUGCUCUUCGAUGUUUUGACAAGAUUCUUUUCACACUGAUGUCACCAAAUCUUCACUGGUACAUGAAGAGAUUACCCAUUAUUUUCUUGGUUCUCAACUGCUUUAACAAGAUUCUUUUAAGACUGGUAGAAAGUGAAAUGCUGUAGAGAAGCUUGCUUGCCUGCCAAGAAAGGCUUACUGCCAGGGUUGAAAGUGAUUUGAAACUUUUCUGGAAGAGUAUAUGCUUCUACUUAUAAUUGUAAGAAUAUUCAAGAAUAAAUCUGAACGGAAGGUCAUUUUGUAUGCAAAGAUAACAUUUUGUUCUACUCCUCUGGCUGCACUGGAAAUAGCUGAUGAACAUUCUGAAAGUGACUGGAAUGUAACCAGAAUAAAAGAGGCAGGACGAGUUCCUGUUUUAAAAGUAGUCACAUCCUAUUAAUAAUAAAUAUAUCAUUGUGGAUGGCUCAGUCAGCUUUGUAGCGAGAACAGAAGUUGAAUUCCGAGUUCCUGAGGAAAAAGGCUCUCAGGAACAGUUUUGUACUGGCCAUCACAAUGGCAGCCAUCCUUAUUGACUAAGUACAAUGCUACCAAAUGUAACUGAGUGAGGAUCAACAGAAGUUAAAAAGCAUAAAUUGAUUUUUUUUCCUUGAAGAACAGAGGACUAUAAAGGAAAGAAAAAAAAUACAAAGGAUGAGAAAUCCAAGAAAGAGAUCAUGAGCCUGGCCUGAGGCAUAUUAGACUAGUAACAGAAUGGCUUCAAAUAUCCUGGCAUGCUAGAGUCCCCUCUUUAUUCUAUGCAGAGCAACAAGUAAUUUCUUGAAUUACCCUUAAUGAUAAUUUUUAAUCUUUCUCCUUAGAAUAACAAACAAAGCUAACUUCUUUUCUGGUUACUGUUUUUUAACAAGGAGGGCUUAAUUGCUAAGGUAAAAAUUAUGGGAACUUUGUGGAAAGGUGAUUGUACAAUCUCAGACACUAUGAUAGAGGAAAUGAAAAUUAUGAAUAGUAUUUGCGCAGAUUUUGGAAGAGAAAAUAUUAAAAAAUCCAGAGAAAUAGAAAACUUCCAAAGCCUAAAAUUCAUGAAAGCCGAGAAAGACCAAGAAAGAGAAAUCUCUCAAGAAUGAAAUUCUGAGAAUAUAAAGAAAAUUCUGAUGAGGAGGAGAAGGGAUAAUUGUCUAAAUAAACUGAAUUAAUAUGCAUGCAUGAGGAAUUCAUAAACAAAAUUUUAAAUAAAAGAUUGAGUAAAGAACAGAUGUAGUCAGGUAAUAAUUGACAUAUUUAAAGAAAAAAAAAACUUAUUUGUCCUUUUUUAAAGCACAAAACAAAAAGAAGCAGUAAUGGGGACCCAAAUGGCAUGUAAGUGGAAUAAUAGAGUGCCAUAUCUGGAAUUAAGAGGACCCAAAUGUAAAUCCAAACUCAGAACCCUUAGUAGCUUUGUGACUCUGUGCAAAUCACUUUCCCCUGUUUGUCCCAGUUUCUCAUCUUAAAAUGAACUGAAGAAGGAAAUGGCAACCACUUCAGUAUCUUUAUCAAGAAAACCCCAAAUAGUGUCCUAAGAGUUGAACACAAUUGAAAUGACUAAACAACAUCAAAAAGGACACAGAAAUAUUUUCUU